rnacentral:rRNA from 1 species
UGGGGAAUUUUGGACAAUGGGCGCAAGCCUGAUCCAGCCAUGCCGCGUGCAGGAUGAAGGCCCUCGGGUUGUAAACUGCUUUUGCACGGAACGAAAAGCCUCUUUCUAAUAAAGAGGGGUGAUGACGGUACCGUAAGAAUAAGCACCGGCUAACUACGUGCCAGCAGCCGCGGUAAUACGUAGGGUGCGAGCGUUAAUCGGAAUUACUGGGCGUAAAGCGUGCGCAGGCGGUCUUGCAAGACAGUGGUGAAAUCCCCGGGCUCAACCUGGGAACUGCCAUUGUGACUGCAAGGCUGGAGUACGGCAGAGGGGGAUGGAAUUCCGCGUGUAGCAGUGAAAUGCGUAGAUAUGCGGAGGAACACCGAUGGCGAAGGCAGUCCCCUGGGCCUGUACUGACGCUCAUGCACGAAAGCGUGGGGAGCAAACA